AUGAGGGAAAUCGUGCAUAUCCAGACCAGUCAGUGUGGCAACCAGAUCGGUGCCAAGUUCUGGGAGGUAAUCAGUGAUGAACACGGCGUCGAUCCCACCGGAACAUACCACGGUGACAGCAACCUGCAGCUGGAUCGCAUCUCUGUGUACUACAAUGAAGCUAUCAGGUGGCAAAUAUGUUCCUCGUGCUAUCUUGGUGGAUCUAGAACCCGGGACCAUGGACUCUGUUCGCGCAGGUCCUUUUGGGCAGAUAUUCAGACCAGACAACUUUGUUUUCAGUCAGUCUGGGGCAGGCAACAACAAAGGGCCACUAUACAGAGGGGGCUGAGCUGGUUGACUCAGUCCUGGAUGUGGUGAGGAAGGAGGCUGAGAGCUGUGACUGCCUGCAGGGCUUCCAGCUGACCCACUCGCUGGGUGGGGGUACAGGCUCUGGAAUGGGCACCUUGCUCAUCAGCAAGAUCCGAGAAGAGUAUCCUGACCGUAUCAUGAACACCUUCAGUGUGGUACCCUCACCCAAAGUGUCUGACACGGUGGUCGAGCCCUACAACGCCACCCUCUCCGUCCAUCAGCUGGUAGAGAACACGGAUGAGACCUACUGCAUUGACAAUGAGGCCCUGUAUGACAUCUGCUUCCGUACUCUCAAGCUGACCACGCCAACCUACAGGGACCUGAACCACCUCAUCUCAGCCACCAUGAGCGGUGUCACCACCUGCCUCCGCUUCCCUGGUCAGCUCAAUGCUGACCUCCUCAAGCUAGUCGUCAACAUGGUGCCCUUCCCACAUCUCCACCUCUUCAUGCCCGGCUUUGCACCUCUGACCAGCCAUGGAAGCCAGCAGUAUCGGGCCCUCACUGUGCCCGAACUCACUCAGCAGGUCUUUGAUGCCAAGAACAUGAUGGCCGCCUAUGACCCCCGCCAUGGCCGUUACCUCACCGUGGCUGCUGUCUUCCGUGGGCAGAUGUCCAUGAAGGAGGUAGAUGAGCAGAUGCUUAACGUGCAAAACAAGAAUAGCAGCUACUUCGUGGAAUGGAUCCCCAACAACGUCGAGACAGCACUCUGCGAUAUCCCACCUCGUGGCCUCAAGGUGGCAGUCACCUUCAUCGGCAACAGCAUGGCCAUCCAGGAGCUCUUCAAGCGCAUCUCAGAGCAGUUCACGGCCAUGUUCCGGCACAAGGCCUUCCUCCACUGGUACACAGGUGAGGGCAUGGACGAGAUGGAGUUCACUGAAGCUGAGAGCAACAUGAACGACCUUGUCUCCGAGUACCGGCAGUACCAGGAUGCCACCUCAGAAGAAGAAGAGGAUUUCGGUGAGGAGGCCGAAGAGGAGGCCUAAGGCAGAGCACCAUCACCUCAGGCUUCUCCGUUCCCUCAGCCUUCUUCCUCAGCUGCCCCUGUCCUCUCCCUCAGAACUGCAUUUUCCGCCUCUGUCUCAUUUUAUUUUGUUUUGUUUUCCUUUUUUGGAGGGGGGAUCCUAGAACAGUGCCUGGCGCAUAAUAGGCACUCAAUAAAUAUUUGUUGUUUGUUGAAUGUCUCCUCUCUUCCACUCUGGGAAACCUAGAUUUCUGCCAUUCUGGGUAGCCCUGUAUUUCCUUUUGGUGUCCACUUCUCCCAUCUGUCCAGUUGAUAUUUCCCUUUGUUUUUUAAGAUAAUUCUCCAAGAAGCUGGGUCUCAUCAGAUCCCAUUUAGAACCAUGUGCUGAAAACCCAGUAGAUGGCCACCAUCCUAAGCCCAUGUGGUAGCCCAGGGGAAAGGAA